AGUCGAGCGAACAGACGAGGAGCUUGCUCCUCUGACGUUAGCGGCGGACGGGUGAGUAACACGUGGAUAACCUACCUAUAAGACUGGGAUAACUUCGGGAAACCGGAGCUAAUACCGGAUAAUAUAUUGAACCGCAUGGUUCAAUAGUGAAAGACGGUUUUGCUGUCACUUAUAGAUGGAUCCGCGCCGCAUUAGCUAGUUGGUAAGGUAACGGCUUACCAAGGCAACGAUGCGUAGCCGACCUGAGAGGGUGAUCGGCCACACUGGAACUGAGACACGGUCCAGACUCCUACGGGAGGCAGCAGUAGGGAAUCUUCCGCAAUGGGCGAAAGCCUGACGGAGCAACGCCGCGUGAGUGAUGAAGGGCUUCGGAUCGUAAAACUCUGUUAUUAGGGAAGAACAAAUGUGUAAGUAACUAUGCACGUCUUGACGGUACCUAAUCAGAAAGCCACGGCUAACUACGUGCCAGCAGCCGCGGUAAUACGUAGGUGGCAAGCGUUAUCCGGAAUUAUUGGGCGUAAAGCGCGCGUAGGCGGUUUUUUAAGUCUGAUGUGAAAGCCCACGGCUCAACCGUGGAGGGUCAUUGGAAACUGGAAAACUUGAGUGCAGAAGAGGAAAGUGGAAUUCCAUGUGUAGCGGUGAAAUGCGCAGAGAUAUGGAGGAACACCAGUGGCGAAAGCGACUUUCUGGUCUGUAACUGACGCUGAUGUGCGAAAGCGUGGGGAUCAAACAGGAUUAGAUACCCUGGUAGUCCACGCCGUAAACGAUGAGUGCUAAGUGUUAGGGGGUUUCCGCCCCUU
rnacentral:rRNA from 1 species